UUUGACCUCAAAUCAGGUAGGACUACCCGCUGAACUUAAGCAUAUCAAUAAGCGGAGGAAAAGAAACUAACAAGGAUUCCCCUAGUAACUGCGAGUGAAGCGGGAAAAGCUCAAAUUUGAAAUCUGGCAGUCUUUUUUUUCUUCUUUGGCUGUCCGAGUUGUAAUCUAGAGAAGUGCUUACCUGCACUGGACCAUGUAUAAGUCUCCUGGAAUGGAGCCUCACAGAGGGUGAGAAUCCCGUCUUUGACAUGGACUGCCAGUGUGUUGUGGUGUGCUCUCAAAGAGUCGAGUUGUUUGGGAAUGCAGCUCUAAAUGGGUGGUAAACUCCAUCUAAAGCUAAAUAUUGGCGAGAGACCGAUAGUGAACAAGUACCGUGAGGGAAAGAUGAAAAGGACUUUGGAAAGAGAGUUAAACAGUAUGUGAAAUUGUUGAAAGGGAAACGCUUGAAGUCAGUUAUGUUGGCUAGGGAUCAACCUAGCUAUUUUUUUGCUGGGUGAAUUUCCUAGUCUUACAGGCCAACAUCAGUCUUGACUGCUGGAAAAGAGCAGGGGGAAUGUGGCACCUUUGGGUGUGUUAUAGCCCUUUGUCAUAUGUGGCAGUUGGGACUGAGGGAUGCAGCAUGCCGUGAGGCUGGGUUUUUGACCACGUUUCAUGCUUAGGAUGUUGGCUUUUAAUGGCUUCAAUCGACCCGUCUUGAAACACGGACCAAGGAGUCUAACAUGCCUGCGAGUGUUUGGGUGGUGAAAACCCUUGUGCACAAUGAAAGUGAAAGUUGAGAUCCCUGUCAUGGGGAGCAUCGACGCCCGGACCUGAGCUUUUAGCGACGGAUCUGCGGUAGAGCAUGCAUGUUGGGACCCGAAAGAUGGUGAACUAUGCCUGAAUAGGGCAAAGCCAGAGGAAACUCUGGUGGAGGCUCGUAGCGAUUCUGACGUGCAAAUCGAUCGUCAAAUUUGGGUAUAGGGGCGAAAGAC
rnacentral:rRNA from 1 species